AUUGAACGCUGGCGGCAGGCCUAACACAUGCAAGUCGAACGGAAACAGGAAGCAGCUUGCUGCUUCGCUGACGAGUGGCGGACGGGUGAGUAAUGUCGGGGAAGCUGCCUGAUGGAGGGGGAUAACUACUGGAAACGGUAGCUAAUACCGCAUAAUGUCGCAAGAGCAAAGAGGGGGACCGUCGGGCGUCUUGCCAUUGGAUGUGCCCAGAUGGGGUUAGCUUGUUGGUGGGGUAACGGCUCACCAAGGCGACGAUCCAUAGCCGGCCUGAGAGGAUGAGGGGCCACACGGGAACUGAGACACGGUCCAGACCCCUACGGGAGGCAGCAGUAGGGAAUCUUCCGCAAUGGGCGAAAGCCUGACGGAGCAACGCCGCGUGAUUGAUGAAGGUCUUCGGAUCGUAAAACUCUGUUAUUAGGGAAGAACAUAUGUGUAAGUACCUGUGCACAUCUUGACGGUACCUAAUCAGAAAGCCACGGCUAACUACGUG
rnacentral:rRNA from 1 species